rnacentral:rRNA from 1 species
AUGGCCGCCUCCCUCUUCCGCCUCUCCCGGCCCCGCCGCGCGCUCCUCCCGUUCUCCGCCCACCGCGUCCCUCUCUCCACCCAGCCCCUCCCGCAACCCAGGGACCCGUCCUCCCCCAACUGCAACCGCGGCCUUCCCGCCUUCCUCUCCUUCCUUGCCGCCGCCGCAGCCGCAGGCGGAACCACCGCUUCCGUCGCUCUCUGCGAUGCCGGCCCCGACCACCGGGUCGGUGGGAAAGACAGCGCCGAGCUGGUGGUGCGUGGGGAGCGCAAGCGCGUGCCAAAGGAGUUCAUACAAGAGCUCGCAUCCUUCCUCGGGGACAACCUGACGGUGGAUUACGAGGAGAGGAGCUUCCACGGGAAGCCGCAGAGCAGCUUCCACAAAGCAGUCAACGUGCCCGACGUCGUCGUCUUCCCAAAGUCCCAGGAUGAGGUGCGAAAGAUUGUGAUGGUUUGUAACAAGUACAAGGUGCCAAUUGUACCAUAUGGUGGGGCUACAUCAAUUGAGGGCCAUACGUUGGCACCUCAUGGUGGCGUUUGCAUUGACAUGUCUUCAAUGAAGAAAAUCAAAUCCCUGCAUGUUGAGGAUAUGGAUAUUGUAGUUGAACCAGGAGUUGGAUGGAUUGAGCUGAAUGAAUACCUGAAACCCCAUGGUCUCUUUUUCCCUCUUGACCCAGGACCUGGAGCCACUAUUGGUGGAAUGUGCGCUACACGAUGUUCUGGUUCAUUAGCUGUGAGGUAUGGAACUAUGCGAGAUAAUGUGAUCAAUCUUCAGGCUGUUCUACCAGAUGGCGAUGUUGUCAAGACUGGUUCUCGGGCUCGAAAGAGUGCAGCUGGAUAUGACCUAACUCGGUUGAUCAUUGGAAGUGAAGGGACUUUAGGGGUAAUUACAGAAGUGACUUUACGACUUCAAAAGCUUCCAUCUCAUUCUGUGGUUGCUAUGUGCAAUUUUCAAACUGUUAAGGAUGCUGCUGAUGUUGCUAUUGCAACAAUGCAUUCUGGCAUACAGGUCUCGAGAGUGGAAUUGUUGGAUGAGGUUCAGAUAAGGGCAAUAAACAUGGCAAAUGGUAAAAGCUUGCCUGAAGUGCCGACCUUGAUGUUUGAAUUCAUAGGGACAUAA